rnacentral:rRNA from 1 species
UACGUAGGGGGCAAGCGUUGUCCGGAAUCAUUGGGCGUAAAGCGCGCGUAGGCGGCCUGUAAAGUCCGCUGUGAAAACUCGAGGCUCAACUUCGAGCUGUCGGUGGAAACUUUCUGGCUAGAGUCCGGAAGAGGAGAAUGGAAUUCCUGGUGUAGCGGUGAAAUGCGCAGAUAUCAGGAAGAACACCCGUGGCGAAGGCGGUUCUCUGGGACGGUACUGACGCUGAGACGCGAAAGCGUGGGGAGCGAACAGG